CGGGCGGGCAGGGUAUUAUGUUAUGGUUCAUUUGAUGGCCAUCACUACAUGGGUCGAGCUUACACAUUGUGAGGUGUGCGUACCGGGCAUUUCAGGAUUCACGAUCGGACUCAAGGACAGGCCUUAAACCAGUCUCCUCGCCUCCCAGGGUUGUCAUAACAACUACAACCUGCAUUGACGUCAUACAGCGAGGGUAGUGGGGUGGAGGUGUGCAGAUGCGAAUGAUCUGAUCACGUGAUCCCAUCGAAAUGGAUAUGGGGAACUCUACGAAAAGCAUACGAGGAAACAAGGAGCGACAUCAUCAGUGAGUAAGCGUUGUGCCGCAGCCAUGCGUUUCCGAAGGAUGGGAUGGAGAGGGGUGGGGUUGAGCUGGUUGAGUUGGGUUGGGGCCGGCUGGGGUUGGACGGAGCGGGAUAAAAGACAAAGGUCACGAAGAAUGAUGAAAACUUGAGAUUAUCACAGAUUCUGGCUUCAUCGGGUCAAGGAACUUUAUAAUAUGCAUUCCAAAGUACGAACAUUGGAGGAGAACUUUGCAGGUCACGUGAAAUCGAAUCAAUGCAAAUGCGAUUCAUACGAUCUUACCACCUACAAGGCAUGACGAAAGGAUCAUCAGAACUUUACUGUUCAAGUUUUGUGAGCAUUGCUAACUCUACGGUCAGACAAACGUACCUUCCCAUGAACAACCAUUCAUAGAAAUAUACCUUUCUAAGAAGCAUAGCUUACUCACUCGAGGUCUGUGGUCCAAUUUAUACCCCCGCAAUCAUUUCCCAGGUACACUACGCCAUGUACCCUGUUCUGAUAUUAAAAACAGGCACGUGAGGUUAUUUUUUCAAAUAUGAAUCACCGUUCAUGUCUUUCGUGAUUCCAAAGUAAAUCGUUGACCACAGCCACAUUUUUAAAGGUUACCCUUCCCUAUUUAUAACCAAAAUAUUUGAACACUGUACUUAAAAGUUUGCUGAAGGAAAAUAGUUUGGCACGCGUGUCCACGGUGCGCCCAUAUGUUUCUUUACCGGUAUGUAUCUGACGACUAUCAUCACUGGAAAUUUUUUUUCUUUUCAGGCUUAAAUUUCAAACAUCUCUGAAAUGAAUUUGUGCAGAUGGGGAUCCUAUUUUUUUGGUGGGCAUUCCACUAAACCUUUCCGCUCAGUCGAUGUAUCUACACCAGUGAUGCAUUUUCAUUUCAAAACGGGAGCUUACUGACAUCUCGGAGUUACAAAUGGUAUUCAAAACACAGGAAUGACGUACAGAUUCGUCUCGUUAACGUUUGUUUAAUGUCCACGGCAUCAAUGACAGUCAAUAAAACAAUGUACAAACAAGACCCAAAAGUAAAUUACAAUAAACACUUCGAUACAUCUCAAUAUACGUCAUCAUUACGUUACGUUUUCCAUGGAGGAAAAAAAAUAGUCGCUGCUACAUUCCGUUAGUUUCUUAAAUACAUCUUAAACGUGUUCUGGUUUUGCAGUUUGUCAAAUUCUUAACUGAUUAAAAAUAUGAACAUGUCUCCGUUACGACACUUACCACAGGGCCAUAUAUACGGCAGUCGGACACAACUGGAAAAUUUACAAGUAGUCAGCAACAAACCUUUUUAUACAAGACAUAAUUCCAACAUAAACCCUUACAUCGGUCACACUGGCCCAGAAUCCAUAAAUCUCUCUAAAUUCUAGUCCCUAUCCGACCCUUGGAACACUUUCGAUAAAACGUAUAUCCAACGGAAACCUCACAUUAUCAACCCAAAACUUUUGACGAACAAGUAUCAGCUGAAGAGUUUCACAAGCGGAUUUUUCUAUUGAUUUGUUUAACUAUUGACAGAACUAAUACCUAUUCCCCCAACCCCCCCUCCCACUUUGAUUCAAUGAUAAGCCUGCAAUACAUAAGAUCCUAAUAACUUGCCAUUUAUAGCUGCAUGGACGAACAUUGUACCUGCCAAUCUCGAAGUUUUGAUGUCAAACCAUCAGACCGCGUCAUUACAGGGGUGCAUAUUACAUAGCGUCAUGUAAGUUUCAGUGCUGGUCUGACUGAGACAUUUGUUUCUGAUAACCUUUCACUCACAUUUUUGUCUUAGUGGCGUGGAUGUCCCUAAAAGACCCAAAUGAAUUUUACUAGGGAACCUAUUUUAUUCGACCUUAUAUAUGUACCCCUUUCUCAUUAAAUUGAGCUCUUUUUUAACCAUUUAAAAUCUCCCAUGCAAUUCCUGACAUACGAGAGCUCUAUUGCUGUAAUGAGAUUUCUGGGAGAAAUAUAUUUUCUGGAACUUUAUGUUCAAAUUGCGAAUUGAAAAUUUUCACUGAAAAUAUUGUAAGAAAACUUUCCUCACUGUCCAACUGUCAAGUACUAGUACUGAAAAACCCAAACACGAAUCACUGACGAAAAGAAAAUUUCAGAAGGAAAGAUAUCCAACAUUCUGGCAAAUUCUAGUGCAGACGUAGCUGUAACAUUGAGGUUUCUUCUUAAAAUGACAUCACACCACUCCUGCGCUAAUAAAUGUGCAAAUUCGCAGAAAAAUCAAAACAUCACCACGAUACCCUUUUGAAUAAAAUGGCGGAAUGAGAAUUGAAAAUAAGGUUAAAUGGGCACAAACGUGCACAUGCACCGACAGCUCCAGCAUUAAAAUUACAACGCAUGGGCCCGCUCAUUUGAUGCAGAAUAAGAAGACUGACAUUCAUCAUAAAGAUUUAGAAUAGAUGAAACGGCCAUUACGGUUGCUCAUCAACAAUUUCAACCUUUCAAUAACUAUAAAAAGUGGCUAGUCAGUUCAUGUGAAUCAGUGGUUGAUGAAAAUGACUGUUCAAUUCCAAACAUUAUUUUCAAUUAAAAAUCUACGAGUCGUCAAUAUAUAACCGUGUGUGUAGCUCUACAUGCAGGUGCAUUUAAGUGUAUUUUGCGAAUUCAACCUUUACUACAACGACUGUACCAAUAAUAGCACCUUUAUUUAUGUAAACGAUAUGUCAUCAACAAUAUUUAACAAAAAGGCAUUAUCUGGAUCACUUAAAAUUCCACUUUCAGCUGUUCUAAUCAGCGAUGCACAAAAUUUUAGGAAAUUAUUAACGUCGAGCUCUCCUAUUCGUAACCUUGACUGUAUUUUGGUGAUGACUGAAGACAAACUGUGUGUCGAUUUGAAGCCACUUUUAGGUUUUCGAAGCUUUUCCAUAGACAACAUCGGACAAAAGUGUUUAUCUUAUAAUUAUUUCUGUGUAGGUUUCCCUUUCCAUAAACGUCCUCAAUUUGUGGAACUUGUUUAGUUUGAAGCUUUAUUCGUAUUCCUUGUAAUGAAUAGCAAACACUUACACGUGGGCGAUUGAUGAUGGUUGAUUAUCCACUCACAGACUAAUGUGCAUUGUCAUAUCGGUAAUUACCGAAGGCACAUGAAAUACCUGUCAUUCGGCGAAAAUGCAGUUAUGAAAUCUUGCCAUUUUUUAAAUCGUAUUUCGCGUAUCUAAGUGAUUCACAGAGACAGAAAAGUAGCAUAUUUUAACGGAGGACAAAUUCAUUUUAACGGUUAAUGUUAGGCCUUUCUACUGCAUACGCGGUAGUUUUAAGAUUUUAAUAACUAAAGUACGCAUUACGUCAGUUGACCUGUUAUACGUUUACGUUGAAAGUCUGAUCAUGUCAAUAUCAUUACGAAAUUGAUGCAACUAUAACAUUCAUGGGCCAAUUAUAUAGCAAACGGAAUAGCAGCAUUCUUUAUACUGUAAUAAGGUGAAAAAGUAAAAAUCUGUAAAGAUGUAUUCAAUAAUCCAUGAAAAACUACCCUUUGCUGCAAAAACACGUAGCAGCAAAUAGUCACCAUUUACGGUAACAAUUUUGACUUUAAUAUUUACACAGUCUUAAAACUUCAACGUUUUCCUCUUUUUUCCCCAUUUUAUAACUAUAAAGUUUGCUCAUACACAACGCAACAGGAAUGGUCACCGUGACGUUUACAUGGUUUCUGCUAAUUGGGUUGUUCGUUAUCACUGUCGGUCAUUAUCGUUUCACUUUCUUUCAUCAAGUUUGUUUCAUGAAAUCCCACAAAAAUAUCAAAAUUGCACACUGUUUAAACAUAUAUUGAACGGCACAGUUUGUCACCUAACGCCCAGCUAUCUCCCUAUCUAGCAAUAGCUUGCCAGUUAUACGUGGAACCACUUACGCCACGUCUAUAUCUAUUUAUCAAGCGUCCUCAUAUUGCGUCACUGCUAUUUUUUUCGUGAACACGAAAUAGCCAAGGACAGUAGCACUGCUAGUCUAUUCUACAUGUACUUUUGUGUUUCACCUCGGAGGUUUUGAGAGUUAUUGUGAAUGAAAAAACCUGAAAAAAAUUCAUAUAUCAAGUAGACCAAUUAAUUGUUUUGCCCUGAAAGAUCAUGUACUGCAAUAUUCAAUCGGUAUGACUAGAAUUUAGAAGAUAAACAUACGUGUUGUUAGACAAAAUGUCUGUUACUUUGACGAUGUUUUCCAUAAACUUUAUUGAAAUAAACAGAUCGGGUGGGCUCAAAAUUACAGCAGUACAGUGUGAUAUCUUUCACCACUCUACCUCUAAACUUACCACUGUCUUCCGCUGAUGAAGACAGCUGCAUGGUAAAUUUUUGAUCUUUGUUUCGAACCCCUCAUAAUUCGCAUUGUAUAACACGUUACAGGGCACAAGACUUGUGUUUGAUUUCGUAAUUUUUUUUCCUACAUCUAAAAUUCAUUAGAAGGUACGUAUACUGUCAGAGCAGUCUCGACCACAGCAGCAUUAUCUCAACCAACUCUUGCCCCGCCCCACGAUGGUUGGCUAGUCACAGCCAGAACUGUGAAACCAAAAUGUCUGACAAGCGUAUAUCUAGCCACAUUACUACAGCAUGCAGAACCAGAGGUGACAACGGCAAGUGUUACUGCCCACAUGGGCAGUGCAUCAACAGGCAGGAUGAAUAAUUCAGCUCGUAGCUUUACAGCCAAUCGAAAUACCUGUUCAGCUUGAUUUGGAUCAUUGAAAGAGGUUUGUAGUCAAUAGUUUAACCUUAUCAUGACCAGGUUUGGGG